rnacentral:rRNA from 1 species
CAGCCGCCGCGGUAAUACGAAGGGGGCUAGCGUUGCUCGGAAUUACUGGGCGUAAAGGGAGCGUAGGCGGAUCGUUUAGUUGGGGGUGAAAUCCCGGGGCUCAACCUCGGAACUGCCUUCAAUACUGGCGAUCUUGAGUAUGGGAGAGGUGAGUGGAACUCCGAGUGUAGAGGUGAAAUUCGUAGAUAUUCGGAAGAACACCAGUGGCGAAGGCGACUCACUGGCCCAUUACUGACGCUGAGGCUCGAAAGCGUGGGGAGCAAACAGGAUUAGAUACCCCAGUAGUCCCUGUCUCUUAUAC